rnacentral:rRNA from 1 species
GAGUUUGAUCCUGGCUCAGGACGAACGCUGGCGGCGUGCCUAAUACAUGCAAGUCGAGCGGAGAAAUGGGAGCUUGCUCCCAUUUCUCAGCGGCGGACGGGUGAGUAACACGUGGGCAACCUGCCCUACAGACUGGGAUAACUCCGGGAAACCGGAGCUAAUACCGGGUAAUACAUAGCAUCGCAUGAUGCAACGUUGAAAGUUGGCCUUUGGCUAACACUGUAGGAUGGGCCCGCGGCGCAUUAGCUAGUUGGUAAGGUAACAGCUUACCAAGGCCACGAUGCGUAGCCGACCUGAGAGGGUGAUCGGCCACACUGGGACUGAGACACGGCCCAGACUCCUACGGGAGGCAGCAGUAGGGAAUCUUCCGCAAUGGACGAAAGUCUGACGGAGCAACGCCGCGUGAGUGACGAAGGCCUUCGGGUCGUAAAGCUCGGUUGUUAGGGAAGAACAAGUACCGUUCGAAUAGGGCGGUACCUUGACGGUACCUAACCAGAAAGCCACGGCUAACUACGUGCCAGCAGCCGCGGUAAUACGUAGGUGGCAAGCGUUGUCCGGAAUUAUUGGGCGUAAAGCGCGCGCAGGCGGUCUCUUAAGUCUGACGUGAAAAGCCCACGG